AGAGUUUGAUCAUGGCUCAGGACGAACGCUGGCGGCGUGCCUAACACAUGCAAGUCGAACGAGGUCCAUGAGAGCUUGCUCUCGGAAGACCUAGUGGCGAACGGGUGAGUAACACGUGAGAAACCUGCCUUGGAGUGGGGAAUAACUCGGGGAAACUCGAGCUAAUACCGCAUACCUUCCUUUGAUCGCAUGGUCAGCUGAAGAAAGAAUUUCGCUCCAAGAGGGUCUCGCGGCCUAUCAGUUUGUUGGUGGGGUAACGGCCUACCAAGACUACGACGGGUAGCUGGUUUGAGAGAACGAUCAGCCACACUGGAACUGAGACACGGUCCAGACUCCUACGGGAGGCAGCAGUGGGGAAUCUUGCGCAAUGGGCGAAAGCCUGACGCAGCAACGCCGCGUGCGGGAUGAAGGCCUUCGUGGUUGUAAACCGCUUUCAGCAGGGACGAAAAUGACGGUACCUCAGAAGAGCC
rnacentral:rRNA from 1 species